GUGCUCUCUUUGGCACCACAUACACUAAAAAUUGGAACGAUACAGAGAAGAUUAGCACAGGCCCUGCACAAGGAUGACACCCUAAUUCGUGAAGCAUUCCAUGUUUUU